rnacentral:rRNA from 1 species
AAAAGUUUAACCUGCCCGCUGAUUAAUAAAAAUUGAAUGGCCGCGGUAUUUUGACCGUGCAAAGGUAGCAUAAUCGUUAGUUUUUUAAUUGGAAUCUUGUAUGAAUGGUUGGACAAAAGAAAAUCUGUCUUUGUGUUAUAAAUUGAAUUUAACUUUUAAGUGAAAAGGCUUAAAUAAAUUAAAGUGACGAUAAGACCCUAUAAAGCUUUAUAUAAAUAUCCUAUUUAGUUUAAUUUUUAAUAAAAACUUAAUAGUUAAAUUUAUUUUAUUGGGGCGAUAAAGGUAAAAUUUUUAUUAACUGCUUUUAGUUUUAGACACAUUUAUUAAUGAUUAAAAUUUUAAAUGAUCCUAAUUAAAGAUUAGAAGUUUAAGUUACUUUAGGGAUAACAGCGUUAUUUUUUUUGAGAGUACUUAUCGAAAAAAAAGUUUGCGACCUCGAUGUUGAAUUAAAAUUUCUUUAUAAUUGCAGCAGUUAUACAAAGUAGGUCUGUUCGCC